CUAAAGUAUUUUCUUAUCUCUCUCUUGCCCACCACUUACUAUAUUUAUAGUAAGUGAGAAAGAAGAAAGUGGGUAGAAAAGAGAAAGGGGUAUGAAGAGAAGAAAUAAUAGAAAUGAGAGGAGAAGAGAAAGAAAAGGAAAAGAGAAAAUUUAGAAGAAGAAGAAAAAGAGAGCUCGAGUCAAUAAGCAAAGCAUUUCAAUUUCAUCAUCAAACUUCAUCUAUCAAAGGGCAAUCCCCACUAUAGGAUGACCGGACGUACGCUUACUAUGCGGCGUAUAAGUGGAAUAAUUUAGGUCGAAACUAGUUGCGUGGAAGCUUCGCCUAAGGUUUAUGUAACAAAUAAAGUUAAGAGCUUGUGUGGAAAACUUUUAUGAAUUUAAAAUGUAAUUGGUUGGGUAUUGGUGAGGAACAUUUGUUCCGAAAAUCCUAAUUGGUGAUAAACUAUUAUGUGUAUUUCUUGUAUCAUGUUGCGAUGUGUAUGUGUAUGAGUUAACAUGUGUGUAUUAUAAAACAUAUUAUGGAUUGA